UCCCAAUGGGGAUCACUCCUUUUGUUUUCCUGGCAACUUUGUAAAAAGCAAGAUAUGUGGCAUACGCAGGUUUUCUUCCCUCUUCAUCACAUAUCAUGAUCUUUGUAAUGAAUCAUUCCUUUGAAUAGUUCUUGAAUAUGUUUUUGAAUAUUUUUCGAAUAUUUUUAAAGAUUUUUCGAAUAUUUUUUAAUAUUUAUUUUAAUAUUUCUUGAAUAUUUCUUGAUUUUUUUUAAAUCUUUUUUUUUCACCAACCACUAACCCACUGGUUCCCAAUGGGGAUCACUCCUUUUGUUUUCCUGGCAACUUUGUAAAAAGCAAGAUAUGUGGCAUACGCAGGUUUUCUUCCCUCUUCAUCCCAUAUCAUGAUCUUUGUAAUGAAUCAUUCCUUUGAAUAGUGCUUGAAUAUGUUUUUAAACAUUUUUCGAAGAUUCUUUUGAAUAUUUUUUGAAUAUUUCUUGAUUUUUUUUUACAUUUUUUUUUUUUCACCAACCCUUUGCCCACUGGUUCCCAAUGGGGAUCACUCCUUUUGUUUUCCUGGCAACUUUGUACAAAGCAAGAUAUGUGGUAUACGCAGGUUUUCUUCCCCCUUCAUCACAUAUCAUGAUCUUUGUAAUGAAUCAUUCCUUUGAAUAGUCCUUGAAUAUGUUUUUGAAUAUUUUUCGAAUAUUUUUUAAUAUUUCUUUUAAUACUUCUUGAAUAUUUCUUGAAUAUUUCUUGAUUUUUUUAAAAAUCUUUUUUUUUCACCAACCACUAACCCACUGGUUCCCAAUGGGGAUCACUCCUUUUGUUUUCCUGGCAACUUUGUAAAAAGC
ensembl:lncRNA